UAAACCCUUAGGUUGCAAGAUCGGUUCCCCGAGCUGACAAGGUACAAAUCGUUCGUUCUGCCCCUGAACAAGGCAGUUAACCCACUGUUCCUAAGCCAUCAUUGAAAAUAAGAAUGUGUUCUUAACUGACUUGCCGAGUAAAAUAAAAAUAAAUAAAUAAAAAUUGUGUCGACGACCGGCUCCCUCCUAGUCAGGUUGUGUCGACGACCGGCUCCCUCCUAGUCAGGUUGUGUCGACGACCGGCUCCCUCCUAGUCAGGUUGUGUCGACGACCGGCUCCCUCCUAGUCAGGUUGUGUCGACAACCGGCUCCCUCCUAGUCAGGUUGUGUCGAUGACCGGCUCCCUCCUAGUCAGGUUGUGUAGAUGACCGGCUCCCUCCUAGUCAG
ensembl:lncRNA